UGGGGACUUGCUCCCUGAGAUUAGCGGCGGACGGGUGAGUAACACGUGGGCAACCUGCCUAUAAGACUGGGAUAACUUCGGGAAACCGGAGCUAAUACCGGAUACGUUCUUUUCUCGCAUGAGAGAAGAUGGAAAGACGGUUUACGCUGUCACUUAUAGAUGGGCCCGCGGCGCAUUAGCUAGUUGGUGAGGUAAUGGCUCACCAAGGCGACGAUGCGUAGCCGACCUGAGAGGGUGAUCGGCCACACUGGGACUGAGACACGGCCCAGACUCCUACGGGAGGCAGCAGUAGGGAAUCUUCCGCAAUGGACGAAAGUCUGACGGAGCAACGCCGCGUGAACGAAGAAGGCCUUCGGGUCGUAAAGUUCUGUUGUUAGGGAAGAACAAGUACCAGAGUAACUGCUGGUACCUUGACGGUACCUAACCAGAAAGCCACGGCUAACUACGUGCCAGCAGCCGCGGUAAUACGUAGGUGGCAAGCGUUGUCCGGAAUUAUUGGGCGUAAAGCGCGCGCAGGUGGUUCCUUAAGUCUGAUGUGAAAGCCCACGGCUCAACCGUGGAGGGUCAUUGGAAACUGGGGAACUUGAGUGCAGAAGAGGAAAGUGGAAUUCCAAGUGUAGCGUAAGG
rnacentral:rRNA from 1 species